rnacentral:rRNA from 1 species
AUUGAACGCUGGCGGCAGGCCUAACACAUGCAAGUCGAGCGGAUGAAGGGAGCUUGCUCCUGGAUUCAGCGGCGGACGGGUGAGUAAUGCCUAGGAAUCUGCCUGGUAGUGGGGGAUAACGUCCGGAAACGGGCGCUAAUACCGCAUACGUCCUGAGGGAGAAAGUGGGGGAUCUUCGGACCUCACGCUAUCAGAUGAGCCUAGGUCGGGUUAGCUAGGUGGUGGGGUAAAGGCCUACCUAGGCGACCAUCCGUAACUGGUCUGAGAGGAUGAUCAGUCACACUGGAACUGAGACACGGUCCAGACUCCUACGGGAGGCAGCAGUGGGGAAUAUUGGACAAUGGGCGAAAGCCUGAUCCAGCCAGGCCGCGUGUGUGAAGAAGGUCUUCGGAUUGUAAAGCACUUUAAGUUGGGAGGAAGGGCAGUAAGUUAAUACCUUGCUGUUUUGACGUUACCAACAGAAUAAGCACCGGCUAACUUCGUG